UUUUCAAGCUUGGAUUGUUGCUGAUCUUCUCCACUUUUGGGUUUUCAAUCAGCUGAAGGUCAACCAGGGAAGGGAAGUUCUCUACAGAUACCAAGUGUCUUACACUUUCUAGGUAUAAGCUUUUCAGUGCUCUUGCCUGGCACGCUAGCCCAUGAGGUAUAUACUUCAGUUUACAAUUAGAGAUGGAAAACCUCUCUAGAACAGGCAUUGCUCUGACUUGAUCCUUCCAUUCCCAUGUUUCCCAUUUCCACAUCUUUUUGAAACCUAGGGUUUUCAGCUUGGGAAAUGCAACAGUGCUGCCAUGUAAAGGGGGGAGUAGGAGUUCAUGUCCAAUAUGCUCAAUGGCCGGAGCAUUUUCGAUCCAAAGAUGAUCAAGAAAGGGAAGCUCACCCAUGCCACUAGGAAGCUUCACGCAGCAUGCAUAGUUCGUUAGCUCCAAUCGCGUUAAGUUUAUAAAAGUUGACAUCAUUUCCAUCCACUGGGGUAGCUCAAGUCCAAAGUAGCCUCCAAUUGUAAGUAGUUCAGUGGAUUCUGGGGGACAGAGAUUGCCCAAUACCUCCUUGAUUUUCUCUUGCUCCUUCUUGCUGAUAUUGCUUUCAAGCUCCCCAUCGUUUCUGAGCCUGCUGGUACACAUCAAAUAUAGCUCUGUUAGAAGUGGUUUGCUACUAAGAUUUGCUUUUGCAGCCAUCGAACCAGAAGAUGCCUUCUCCAAACUUGUUAUCUCAAGUAUUUUUAGUUUCGACAGUGUUCCAAGUUCUUCCAAGCUGCACCAACCAUUUGUGCCAUCAUCCGAUGAAUAGGUUGGAAACCCUCCCAUCAUGACCAAAUCUUCUAGUCUUCCAAAACCUUGAGGAAUGGAGGUUAUCAUAGUGCGUCUAAGGUUGAGAAACCUUAGUUUCUGUAGCUUCAAGAUGCUCUGCGGAAGUUCACAAAUUUUUGCACAAUCUGCCAAGUCAAUGACCUGUAGAAAUUUUAGAUCUCCAAUGUUGCGGGGGAUUGUAGAUAUGCUUGUACCUGCAACUGCCAAAUAUCUUAAAUGUUUGAGGUGACAUAUAGAUUGUGGCAGUUCAACAAGGUCGACAAUAUUUUGGAGGUUUAAUACUCGUAGAGAAGAAAGACUAUUAAGGAAAUCAUUACUAUCAACCAUGGAGUUCUUGUUUAACAUCAAUGCUCGUAGUGAUACUUGUUUUUUCAAAGCAACCCAAUCUACUUCUUUCUUUGAUACAGAUAACUGUCGUAACUUUAGAGUACGACUUGUAGGUAUUCUUGUGUUUUGUCCCUCGGUAAGUAAGAUGCCUUCUUCCUUCCCUACAGAUUGUGCAAAGCAGCGGACAACAUCAUGCAUGGUGCAUGCUGAUUGAUCAUAGAAUUCCCUCUUCUGUUGUAAAAGGUUUCUUGAUGCCAAUUCAUUGAAAUACUCAAAUCCCAAAUCUUCUAGUAGCAAAGAACUCACUUCUUCUUGUACAAAACCUUCCGCUAUCCACAUCUGGACUAUAUCUCCACGUCUAAUUAAUUCAUCUUUAGGAAAAAGUGAACAGUAUAGAAAGCAUUGCUUCAAAUGGGGAGGUAAUUCUUCAUAGCUCAGGAAAACUGCUCUAUCAAGGCAGUCGGUUGUAUUCAUUGACCAUGCAUUGUGGUUAUAGAUAUGCAACCAAGAAUUUCUUGUGUUGUUUCUCUGUCUCAAUAGCCCUCCGAUCAACUUGAUAGCAAGUGGCAAACCAUCACAUCUGUCUACAAUCUUCAUACCAAUAUCCUCCAGAGCACUAAUCUCAGAUUCAUCUGUUGUAACCCAAAAUGCCUGUUGAAGAAGUACCACAUGAGAUAAGUGUGCUAGAGAUGUAAUGGGGGGAUAAAGACUUUGCAGCUCGGCACUACUACCCAUAAACUUCUAGGGGAGAUGGAGAUACACAAGGAUUAAAUUAGAUCAGUGGCAGCUUGUCAGGGAUGAUGUGGAAGGCCACAUAGACAAGAAGUCAAUGUCCCACAACUACACAUUUUACCUGCUUCUUUAGCAAUGACCAACCAUCAAAUCUAUCAAGCUUGUCAACUGGAUGGAGAUGUUGUGCUUUCAUCCCACGUGCGACUCCCUCCUUUCUUGUGGUCAGCAAGACCUGGCUCCCUGAAGCACCACUACUCAAAGGAGCGUUCACCCUGUUCACCAGUAGAUCGACAAGCUUCCUUGUAUCUUGCUCAAUCUUCUCCCCAACAAUGGAAGUUUGUUCAAUGGAUGGUCCAGUCCUCCGCCAGUCGCCGAGUGAAGAACUGGGACCAGCGUAAACAACAACCGAGGGGGUCAAAUUCAAAAGGGAGGUCCGUUUUGAAAGUAUAUCUAGCCUCUGGUUGAGUACCUUGAUCUUCAUCCCGAUCUUGUGUGAAGCAACAGGGUUGCAGAAGCAGAACUUGGAAACGUUCCAGCAACUUGGAGUGGCUAUUGCAUCGUCUUCUCCGUCAUCCUCGACAACAUGCUGGCAGAGGUCCAGGAUGUCGUCGGCAUCAUACAUGACAUCCUUGAGUUCCCUCACCCACCGCCUGACGGUCAUCUCGCGCCUACUGUCGGCGUCGGCCAGGUAGCAGCGGAUGUCACCCAGCGUCGUCUCAAACUUGGUGAUCUCCCCGGGCACGCGAAGGAGCAUCUCCACCCUGCUUGUGGCCAUGCCCAUGAUAUUGCCUCCCAGUCUGAGCGCAAAUGACACCAACGCGGACGCCAUGGCGGCGAUCACAGAAGGAAGCCUCUCGCAACGAGAUUUUUGAUAAUUGAGUGUUAUGUUGCCAAAAAUCUCUCUAGCAACAGGUGCAGUUAAGAGUUACAGCUAGCUACAGAUGAAGUGAUCGUUUCUUUUCCAAAUUUUUUUGCCUUACAAGUUCAGUUCUCAGAUGAGUUUUAUAGAAGAUCUCUGCCUUCUCUGGUAUACAAGGAGUGUGUACGCACCCUGAUUAAGCUCUGUUCAUGUAGUAACUGACUCGGCUACGCUCAGUGCUGAACGCGGCUGAAGUUUUUUUUUUUUGGGAACACGCCAGAAAGUUGACUUGAGUACUGGACAAAAUGACACAAGAAAUGCCCCCAGUGUCAUGAUCUUCCGCUGGUUUGUUCUACUUAUUUAUUCGGUUAUUCCCUUACUCUACCACAAUACUAUGUUCAUCUUCUCAAAU